GUAAGGAAUAUUGGUCAAUGGAGGCAACUCUGAACCAGCCAUGCCGCGUGCAGGAAGACGGCCCUCUGGGUUGUAAACUGCUUUUAUCCGGGAAUAAACCUGCCUUCGUGAAGGUAGCUGAAUGUACCGGAAGAAUAAGGAUCGGCUAACUCCGUGCCAGCAGCCGCGGUAAUACGGAGGAUCCAAGCGUUAUCCGGAUUUAUUGGGUUUAAAGGGUGCGUAGGCGGCCUGUUAAGUCAGGGGUGAAAGACGGUGGCUCAAACAUCGCAGUGCCCUUGAUACUGAUGGGCUUGAAUGGACUAGAGGUAGGCGGAAUGUGACAAGUAGCGGUGAAAUGCAUAGAUAUGUCACAGAACACCGAUUGCGAAGGCAGCUUACUAUGGUCCUAUUGACGCUGAGGCACGAAAGCGUGGGGAUCGAACAGGAUUAGAAACCCGAGUAGUCC
rnacentral:rRNA from 1 species